rnacentral:rRNA from 1 species
UGCAGAGGGGGCAAGCGUUGUUCGGAAUUACUGGGCGUAAAGGGCGCGUAGGCGGCCUUCUAAGUCGGACGUGAAAGCCCCAGGCUUAACCUGGGAACUGCGUCCGAUACUGGGAGGCUUGGAUUCGGGAGAGGGAUGUGGAAUUCCAGGUGUAGCGGUGAAAUGCGUAGAUAUCUGGAGGAACACCGGUGGCGAAGGCGGCAUCCUGGACCGAGAUCGACGCUGAGGCGCGAAAGCUAGGGGAGCAAACGGG